GGGAGAGACAUAGGUCAGUGGUACAACAUGCGCCCAGCAUGCAGAAGGUCCCAGGUUCAAUCCCUGGCCUCAUUCCCA